AUAUUAGUAAGCGGAGGAAAAGAAACUAACUAGGAUUCCCUUAGUAGCGGCGAGCGAAGAGGGAAGAGCUCAAGCCUGAAAUCGGGUGUUUCCCUCUCUGUUUUGGGGGAGGGAGCUGAAAGGUGGUGGCAACUAGCUUGACACACACCGCCCGACUUGUGGCCUAAAGCUAUGUGGUCAGUGACGACGCACAUGUAAGUUUGUUGUUGGAAGACGGCACCGCAGAGGGUGAGAGUCCCGUGUGGCAUGUGCGAGCGGCAAGAGUGUUGUUUGUUCACGUACGACCCAUAUGCUUGGAGUCGAGUUGUUUGGGAUUGCAGCUCCAAAUGGGUGGUACACUGCAUCUAAGGCUAAAUACAGGCGAGAGACCGAUAGCGAACAAGUACCGUGAGG
rnacentral:rRNA from 1 species